GAACCUCUUCCUACCUUGCAUCCAAACAUCAACGAUAAAGUGUUGUUGGUGCAAGCAACUUUGCAGUGGCAAAUCAUUGGUGUAAAACAGUCAGGGUCCUUAACAACAGGGGACAUUCCUUCCGGGCUGCGGCAGUGGCAGCUCGCUGGGGGACCCAAACGCUGUGCUCGCCGGGCACAUGGAGCGACAGCCUAGACCGAGCUGCCGCUUCGAUCACUGCCCCCUGCACCCGCCGUGGCCAUCCCGGAGCCCCGGUGGAAGCAACGCCGCGGGCAAGUACCGAGCCUCUCGGGGUCUCCCUUCCCUGGGGAACGAGGCGUGUGGGGGGAGGGACAGAACCAAGAAAGAAUUUUUCCCCCUACGGUGAAUUUGGGGGAGGUAAAAUAAAAAUAAAAUAAAAUAAAAAUAAACCAUAAAAAUAAAAGGAAGCCAGGCACUUAGAGGAGGGUUCAAAGGAGGUGGGGCAGUAUUAGCAUGUAAAAGGAUGUGCCCGCCUACUCUCCCCAGUCACACAAGAUUGUCAUGCGAGCUGAAGGGGGCUGAAAUUAUUCCCUCUGAAGAAGAAGAAGAAGAAGAAAACAUACUGCAGCUCCCGAUUUGGGCCUGCCUCUUUCUAUUCCUUGACAUAAACCGGACUCUUCAUGCUAAUCA
rnacentral:lncRNA from 1 species